UAGGGAAUCUUCCACAAUGGGCGAAAGCCUGAUGGAGCAACGCCGCGUGUGUGAUGAAGGCUUUCGGGUCGUAAGCACUGCUGUAUGGGAAGAACAGCUAGAAUAGGAAAUGAUUUUAGUUUGACGGUACCAUACCAGAAAGGGACGGCUAAAUACGUGUCAG
rnacentral:rRNA from 1 species